ensembl:snRNA U6 U6 spliceosomal RNA
UGGAUAUCUUCUUUGUAAAAAUGUUCAGUACAGAGAAGAUUAGCAUGGCCCCUGUGGAAGGAUGACAUGCAAAUUUGUGAAGCGUUCCUUAUUAUU